AUCUUGGUGCAGUGGCAGUAUUGUAGCCAAUGAAGUUUAUCCAACACAUAAUUAUUGCUAAUUAAAAAUAAUACGGCUUUUAAUAAAGAAUAUGAAAGAUAUUUUUAUGACCUUGGAGAGG
rnacentral:snRNA from 2 species